CUUCCCGCGCGCUCUUCCCGUGCCCCUCUCUCGAAUCCAUCACCGGCACACACCAAAUUCGUCACUGGCGGACACCAAAUCCCUGUUCGCGCCUCAUCCAAAUCCCCUAAAAAAUCUAUGGCACAAUAGCCCCUCCUCAAUCGAUUUCCCACCUCAAUCUUCAUGAAUCAAAAUCCGCCCUCAAUCUCUCAGAGAAUGAAUCGAGUGAGUGGUUCCACGCGAGUCUCUGGAUCUGCAGCCACCCAUGGUGCAACAACCUCUGCUCCGGCCACCGGCGAUGCUGCAACUACUGUUCAAGUCGCCGGUGUUCCUAUAGGGUGGACAAUGUAUCUCUUGGGGCGUUCUUUAGGCAUGAUUCAUCUCCUACUGAAGGAUGAUGGUUUCUGGAGAUUUGAGGCGACCUGAUGGCUUAUGGAGUACAUGUGCUACUGACUUGACAUGAUAUGGACAUCAACUACAUGCAUGAGAGAUGAUAGAUGAUUCCACCUUAUUAUUUUACUAUACAUAGUGUGCUGGACUGCAAAAUUUUGUUGUUUCUUUGCUAGCAUGUGUUCUAGGCACAUACUAAUUACAGAAAGUUCGCACAGUUGAUC